ensembl:lncRNA
UACAUUGACAGGAGGUCUUGAUGUUGCUGGCACAUUGAUUGGACCUGAAGUUACAUUGACAGGUGGUCUUGAUGUUGCUGUUACAUUGAUUGGACCUGAAGUUACAUUGACAGGAGGUCUUGAUGUUGCUGUUACAUUGAUUGGACCUGAAGUUACAUUGACAGGUGGUCUUGAUGUUGCUGGCACAUUGAUUGGACCUGAAGUUACAUUGACAGGUGGUCUUGAUGUUGCUGUCACAAUGACUGGACCUGAAGUUACAUUCACAGGUGGUCUUGAUGUUACUGUUACUUUGAUUGGACCUGAAGUUACAUUGACAGGUGGUCUUGAUGUUGCUGGCACAUUGAUUGGACCUGAAGUUACAUUGACAGGUGGUCUUGAUGUUGCUGUCACAUUGAUUGGACCUGAAGUUACAUUGACAGGUGGUCUUGAUGUUGCUGUCACAUUGAUUGGACCUGAAGUUAUCUUGACAGGUGCUGUUGAAGGAAAGGUAAAAAAUUAAAAUGGUCUUAUUUAUUCUGGAAAUGUUAUGACUGCUACUGGAAUCUGUCAGUACAGAACAUACAGAUUACAUUGUGUCAAGUUUGUUACAUGAAUAUGUGCUCAGAGUGGUGAUAUUAAUAUAUUUACAUUUGCCUAUACAAUUCAGUUACAGAAGAUGAACGAUAAUAUGUUUCUACGUUGAUUGGGCAUUGUCAUGUAAACUAACAUAGCAUCAUGGUCAGGUCUGGAAAAACUGUUGAAUUUGGGCAAAUAGUUUGGCUGUCACAGCUUGUUGUGAAAUACUCAUUAAUUACUUAUUUGAAAUUAAUGACAUGCCUAACCAGACUUAACCAUAAUGCACCUUCUUUACUUGACUGGCCUGCCCAGUUCCCAGAUCUAACCCCAACGGACCUUCUUUACUUGACUGGCCUGCCCAGUCCCCAGACCUAACCCCAACGGACCUUCUUUACUUGACUGGCCUGCCCAGUCCCCAGAUCUAACCCCAACUGACCUUUCUAUACUUGACUGGCCUGCCCAGUCCCCAGACCUAACCCCAAUGGACCUUCUUUACUUGACUGGCCUGCCCAGUUCCCAGAUUUAACCCCAAUGGACCUUCUUUACUUGACUGGCCUGCCCAGUUCCCAGAUUUAACCCCAAUGGACCUUCUUUACUUGACUGGCCUGCCCAGUCCCCAAAUCUAACCCCAACUGACCUUCUUUACUUGACUGGCCUGCCCAGUCCCCACCGGACCGGACCCCAGCUCACCAUCUUUAAGAUGAGAUGAGGAACAGGAACAUGUCUUCAGCACGAAUGUACCAUCAUUCAAAAUAAGUACCAAUUGCAAAAGGAUGUCAUUGCAUCAGCAUUGACCAACAUCCCCAUCAAAUGUUUUAGACACCCCUCAAACAGUCCAUGCCCUGAAGAAUCCAGGCUGUUCUGGGGGAACAAGAGGGUCCACCCCAUUACUAGAAUAAACUGGCCACUGUGUGGUUUGAAUUACAGAUGUUUGACACUCAGUUAGCGGUGACACCGUAAGACCAGGGUUUGAGUCCGGUUCGCAGCUAAGGGGUGCAAUCAGAGGGCCGUGCAAUUGGACGACCCAGUCACAGUUUGACCGGGAUAUUAAAAGAAUUCGGGGUGCCUUGCCUGAAGGUGCUCUAGCGCCACUCUGUGGCGGCUUGGGUGCCUGUCAGUUAAUAACGGUAGAAGUCUGUAUUCGCGGCUGGGCUUAUGAGCGAGCCGCGUAAUUAGAACCAGAAUGGCGUCGGAUUCAGUUCGUAGGACACCUCUCUCGACAUCGACUGUCCUGAGUCCACUGGAAGCUGCAGCGAUGUAGCAGGUCCUUAAGUGAUUCAUUGGAUAUCACUAAAGAGGGGGGAAUCCUUUAUCCAUCACCCGCGAUCUGCAGACUCUGUGCUUUCUGAAUGUGGAACUUAUAGCUCAAAUGUAUGUGGUGUUCCAGACAUUUAUGACUUGUCUUUUCCAGCAGACUUCAUAUUCCACACACCCAUUGCAAUUCAAAGCAAUGUGUGACAGUCUUGAACCAGCAGAUCCAGUUGAACACAGGAAGUCUCCACCACAGCUAUUCAUAUCAGAACCGAGGACACCAUGUGCCUCAGUUGACCUGUGAGGAUAAAGUCCAUUACCUUUUGUUGUAUUGACGCCAACAUCUUGGGAUAUUGCUGUUGUGCUCUGGCCUGAUGUUGUCCCCACUAGUCCUGUUAGAAAAUGAAUAAGAAAAAGGUCAGUUAAGAAAACAUUUCAGUCCAUUAUACUCUAUAUCCACCAUCCUGAUACUGAACCAAGAUCCAUCUAACAGUCACUGCUCUUCUUUCAAACUAGCUAUAGUGGUAGAUGGUGAUUAUGUAACCCUUCAUGAGCAAUUGUUAAGCUAGCGUCAGGUUGAGAUUGGAGGCAUAUAUUCACUGCACGCAUUACCUGCUAGAAGGAGGAGAAUCCUCAGAUGCUUCAUAUCCUGUCCUUCACCUCCUCUUAUGUCCCUGUGGAGGAAUACAACAUAAAUUUGUGAACAUCUAAACAUCAAGCACAUCAAAUUAUGUCACAAACCCAAUUAGAAUCUGCUGAUUUUAUAGAAUUGGGUACAACAGUUGAAUUAAGCUCAUGAGGCAUUUAUAAAUGAUAUAUUCAAGA